rnacentral:lncRNA from 1 species
CCUGGCAGCUGUCACAGCUCCUCAGUUAGGGCAAGGGCAGGAAUGCUAGCAUGUUGACUGGUUUGGUCUUUACAGGUCUCGGUGAGCUUAAUGUAAGUUGUUAUUAAAACAUAAAAGUUAUAACUUCAUUUUAGGUGAUGCUUGAAGAAGCUUUUCCUCUGGCGAAAUGUCCUUGGCUCAUGUCCCAGAACACCCCUGCAUGUCUUAAAGUGCAUGUGGCUUUCUAGUGCUUUGAUUAACCAUCUCUGUGGUAUGUAUAUACUCUUUACAUUAACCCCGCCUCUCCGAUCUACCUCUAUAAGUGUAAAUAAUUCCAAUGCAAUGCGCAUCUAUCUCUUAGUCGGGCUUCAAUCUUUUCUCAGGAAAACACUAAUUAGCAACGUUUUCUGUUUUGUAAUAGAAUUGUUGGGGAACUUCCUGUGCAUCUGUGGUCUUUUCCUGGGAGGUUUGAGUUUGGGCUUCAGGGUGGCUCACUGACCUGCCAGACCCCCUUCCAUCACCAGCACCAAAACAGCAAAAGGAAUUUGGGUUUUGAGUCUGUCUUAGUUUUGGUCAAAGUCAUUUUUCUAUCCUUCAAAGCUGGGUAAUUUGUAGGACAUUAGAUCAAGACUUUGACAACAGGCACAUGAUGGUGGAUAGACUUUUUCUGUGUUUUGAUUUUAGAAAUUUCAAUGCACUGCUUGGGGCUGUAACUUCUACCCUUUCCUUUAUGGACUAUCAGAAGGCAAGAUUCCACCCAAUGCAACUCUGAU